rnacentral:snoRNA from 1 species
GCUGUAAUGUGUGCAUAGUUUCAUCUAUGUCUGGUAGCAAUGUCUGUCUGUGUUUUGCAUUCAGAGCUUGCUAUCCACACAAUGCCAUGCAGCCAGAGAGUAACUUGGGGUCAUAGUACUGGUCUAGUAUUGUCUCUUUGGACACUUCCACCACUGGCCAGCCUCCAAAUUCCCAUACACAG